rnacentral:sRNA from 1 species
CGCUGUCUGGUGGGGACUCACAAGACCGACGUCAAGAUGAUGCUUUCAAGGGCCAAACCUGCUGUAGGCAGAGGCGUACAGCACACUGACAAAAGAAAGAAGAAAGUUCAAACGUCAUGUUGGGGAAGAAGAAGAGGAUACUAAUUUGUGGAUUGGAUAUUGUGCCUUUCACCUGGGUGACUACAAGAGAGCUCUGGAGGAAUACGAAAAUGCUACAAAAGAGGAAAAUUGUAAUUCUGAAGUCUGGGUGAACCUAGCUUGCACCUACUUCUUUCUUGGGAUGUAUAAACAAGCUGAAGCAGCUGGAUUUAAAGCUUCAAAAAGCCGACUGCAAAACCGCCUCCUCUUCCACUUGGCUCACAAGUUUAAUGAUGAGAAAAAAUUGAUGAGCUUUCAUCAAAAUCUUCAGGAUGUCACAGAAGAUCAACUCAGUUUGGCCUCAAUCCACUAUAUGCGAUCUCACUACCAAGAAGCUAUAGAUAUAUAUAAGCGAAUACUGCUAGAUAACAGGGAAUACCUUGCCCUUAAUGUUUAUGUGGCCCUCUGCUACUAC